GACGAACGCUGGCGGCGUGCUUAACACAUGCAAGUCGAACGGAAAGGCCCUGCUUUUGUGGGGUGCUCGAGUGGCGAACGGGUGAGUAACACGUGAGUAACCUGCCCUUGACUUUGGGAUAACUUCAGGAAACUGGGGCUAAUACCGGAUAGGAGCUCCUGCUGCAUGGUGGGGGUUGGAAAGUUUCGGCGGUUGGGGAUGGACUCGCGGAUUAUCAGCUUGUUUGUGGGGUAGUUGCUUACCAAGGCUUUGACGGGUAGCCGGCCUGAGAGGGUGACCGGCCACAUUGGGCCUGAGAUACGGCCCAGAAUCCAACGGGCGGCAGCAGUGGGGAAUAUUGCACAAUGGGCGGAAGCCUGAUGCAGCAACGCCGCGUGCGGGAUGACGGCCUUCGGGUUGUAAACCGCUUUCGCCUGUGACGAAGCGUGAGUGACGGUAAUGGGUAAAGAAGCACCGGCUAACUACGUG
rnacentral:rRNA from 1 species